GGGUUGUGAGGUUAAGCGACUAAGCGUACACGGUGGAUGCCCUGGCAGUCAGAGGCGAUGAAGGACGUGCUAAUCUGCGAUAAGCGUCGGUAAGGUGAUAUGAACCGUUAUAACCGGCGAUUUCCGAAUGGGGAAACCCAGUGUGUUUCGACACACUAUCAUUAACUGAAUCCAUAGGUUAAUGAGGCGAACCGGGGGAACUGAAACAUCUAAGUACCCCGAGGAAAAGAAAUCAACCGAGAUUCCCCCAGUAGCGGCGAGCGAACGGGGAGCAGCCCAGAGCCUGAAUCAGUGUGUGUGUUAGUGGAAGCGUCUGGAAAGGCGCGCGAUACAGGGUGACAGCCCCGUACACAAAAAUACACAUACUGUGAGCUCGAUGAGUAGGGCGGGACACGUGGUAUCCUGUCUGAAUAUGGGGGGACCAUCCUCCAAGGCUAAAUACUCCUGACUGACCGAUAGUGAACCAGUACCGUGAGGGAAAGGCGAAAAGAACCCCGGCGAGGGGAGUGAAAAAGAACCUGAAACCGUGUACGUACAAGCAGUGGGAGCACGCUUAGGCGUGUGACUGCGUACCUUUUGUAUAAUGGGUCAGCGACUUAUAUUCUGUAGCAAGGUUAACCGAAUAGGGGAGCCGAAGGGAAACCGAGUCUUAACUGGGCGUUAAGUUGCAGGGUAUAGACCCGAAACCCGGUGAUCUAGCCAUGGGCAGGUUGAAGGUUGGGUAACACUAACUGGAGGACCGAACCGACUAAUGUUGAAAAAUUAGCGGAUGACUUGUGGCUGGGGGUGAAAGGCCAAUCAAACCGGGAGAUAGCUGGUUCUCCCCGAAAGCUAUUUAGGUAGCGCCUCGUGAAUUCAUCUCCGGGGGUAG
rnacentral:rRNA from 1 species